AUUCUGCAAAGAUUCUGAAUAUCAGCUCUGAACUUAUCUUCACUGCCUAUGUUUAAACAACUGAUUGUCGGAUCCCCAACUCUUACAAUCAAUCAUUUAUUUUCUGAGCGAACAACUUGAGGAAGAAACAAAUUCAUUACUGCUACACAACUCUUGUCAACUGCGGGCUGGAUACUUUUCUAACAAUCACGAGAGCUCUGAAGACUAUCACUUCUGAAACUUUUCUAAUUGGCUUUCCCUCAUAACAACAACAUGAAAAUGUGGAACGUUAGGCGAUGUGCCAUAUGUGAUGGUAACAUCUCGAGUCUGGUGAAUGU
rnacentral:lncRNA from 1 species